rnacentral:misc_RNA from 1 species
AAAGUGCGACAAGUGUCACGACUUGCAGAUACCCGAGAGCUGACAAAUUUCUGAAUGCAAAUUGCAGCCAAAUUAACCUGGCUAUGGAUUGCAGAGAGUCCUGUACUUAUGUACACCAUCCUUGGAUGCUUCUCUCUUCGGAGCCUUGCAUCCACAGGGACAUGCGAUUGCGCGAACUCCUCUAUAUAUCUCAUCUCUAUAUAUAUCUCUCGAUAUAUAUAAGUUUUUAGACCCGCGAUCGUGAAAGGAAGGAAACCCUUAGUGGUUGACCUUGGAAAAAAAUAUACCUCUUACUUCUCUCUCUCUCCGGAGAGAGAAGAAGACACUCACACGUGUAUAUACACGACCUUUUUUCUAUACACCUCUGCAAUGCAGGAGAACCCGCUGAACUUAA